GCGUGUUUUUUUUUUGUGAUCUCUUGAUGUGAUCGAUCCUGUGGGCGAGUUCCAACAACGGUCACCACUGACUCCGAUCUACCACCGUCCAGUGCAGCACUAAAAUCUCAUCACUGGGUUCAUGAUCAGUGAGGGACGUGGGCAUUAUUUUGGUCUUCUGCCAUUCGAUGGCGCAUUUUAGUAUCUGCACUGCAGAGGUGAGAGUACAAAAUAACAGUUGUGAGGAACACAUGGAUCAGUGUGGCUCUAUUGGUUUAUUAAGAUUUGUAAUUUUGGUGUGUGUUUUGUAUACGAAGUUGUUGUGGAUCAAGUAAUUUAAUCAAGUCCAUUUGAGUCAAUGGAAUUACCGAACGUGUUGUCUUCUUUUUGGCUUGAUCUUGUUCUACUGUGUGUGCUCUGGAUUGACCUUCUUAGGCUUGUUUCUGUGGUGUAGAGAGCCAGGUUUGUCUAUUACUUGUGCUGGUGGCUUUGGCUAUAGGUUGGUGAGUUUAAAGACUGAUGUUUGCUCUUUAGGCCUGGUUUGGCUAUGGUCUGGUUGCCUGCGUGUAGUUCAUGUUUUUCCUAAUGUUUUAGGGUUGCUUUUACUUUCAGUGUUAUUUUCUCUAGUUCAUGUAAUAAGCAGCAGGCAUGUUGCAUGCCAGCGCCACGAGGCAAUGCCAGAAGCGCUAUUCGGCUACAGCAUCACAGCCAAAGGGCGUCCAUCGUGAAGGCAACAAUUAUAUGAAGCAUCACUUCCUGUAGGUCAGGUAGCAUAAUAUUUCAAACAAUGGAAGUAAAUGCAUACAAACUACUCCCUCCGUCCCAUACUGUGUAAAAAACGCUCUUAUAUUACGAGACGGAGGGAGUACAUUAUAUCCCUAACAAAUAAGAGGCAAAAUAGACAGGUGUGGUAAUGUGCGCCAUCAAUGAUGUAGUACACUCUAGAACAGUUGGACAAUUACUAAGUUUAACAAUCAUAUUUUCUGAACCUAUAUUAGGAUAUUUGUUUAACUAAUGAAGUAGAAUCCAUUAUGAAGAUAUUUAUAUAUGUCGUGCACACACACACACACACACACACACACACACACACACACACACCAUAAUUUAUUACCUUUUUUACAUUUGUUUAUGAUUUGUUAUAAGUUGAAUCAAUUCUACAAUAUGCCUCAAACUAAAAUUUGAACAAAAAGGAGACAAUUGCAUGAUUAAUUUUAUCCCAGAUUUUUAAAAGAUUGACAUGUGAUUUUAUAACAAUAAAUUUUGAUUAUUUUACAUACCUACUCGUUUGUGUGAAUAAUAUUGCUAGAUACAAUUGAAACAAAUAGUGUUGAUCAUUGUAUGGCAUAUGUUAUAUUGAUUCAAAAUAGGGUUGAGAUUCAGUGGCAAUUAGAUACCAAGAAGUACAAGUGUUUAAUAUAAAAUGCGGGAUUUGGUGGUCGCCACCUCUCGUUCGUGGUUGAUUUGCGGUACAAAGUGGUAUAUUUUAUCUCCGCUCUACAAAUAUGUUAUAUACUAACAGAACAAGUAUAAUAUGGAGGACGGCGAUUCAAUGCACGGGCAUGUGGCCGGUAUCGUGUGCGUUUGAUCCGGUGUGGGGAUUUGGAAAAAUGCUGACGUGGGACAGGUUUUAGCAGUUGAAAAAUCGCGUAUACAUGAGGAGUCGUAGGAACAGUGAUGUAUGGCGGGACCAAACCGUAGGUGGCAGGCGAGAUUAAUGGGGUGGGCGGAGAGAGGCGUCGAGUCCGAAGUUAUAGGCCGUGGCUCAGGAAUGUGAGGAAAAUCAUUGGCAUGGGGACGGAAUGUGCACCUGAUAGGGUCGGGGGUUGUCGAACUUAAUCAAAACGUGGUUUUCCCGUGUGUCCCGUGCACACCACUAAAGCUACAUAAGUUGUUCUUCGAAAAAAAACUAUAUAAGUUGUUCGUUUCGGUUCUUCUUAGAUGAGCUGGGUUUAUUUUUUGCAAAAAGAUCAGAUUUAUUAUAAAGAUUCCCCACAAAGCCGCCUGAUUGUGCGACGCUGCCGAUUUCAUUUGCUGCUAGCAAUGGGGGUGAUUAUGGGGGUGUUGCUGAAACACCUACCCACCCGAAGUGCGGAAGGUUCGAUCGUGUGUGUGCGUGUGGAAGGACCAUUCAAAGAUGAUCCGUUAAAUUUAGAUGAGAUGAUUCCAGUAAUACACUACCACGUUGUUCCAUCGGCGUCCUCCUCAGAUGCACCAAACGAUCAUCGACGUCCUCCUCCGAGGAGGAUCGCCUGGAGCAAUUAAACUAAUAAGUUGGAACUGUCGGGGUCUCUUGGGAACCCCGACGGUUCUUUUGCUUCUGGACAUCCAGAGGUGACAUAAUUCAGAUGCGUUUUUUCUGUCUGAAACGCAUUUGGAUGAGGAUAGGGCAGCUUGAGAAGGAAAAUGAGGAUGGAUUACAAAAUCGUUGCGCCAAGCCUUGAUGGAAGGAAAGGUGGUUUGCUUUUAGUCUGGAAGAAGGAGGUGAGGAUCUACUCCGGGACUACCACUUUUAGUGUCAUCAAUGUGAUGGUGGAGGAAUCAAAUGGAAGAGAAUGAAGGCUUUAGGGAUUGUAUGGGGAGCCGAGUUGGGAUCAUACGUACCAGCUAAUACUUGCAUGCUCAAUCUAAUCUCCUGUGGGUGGUCAUUGGUGAAUUUAAUGAGAUUCUAUUCUCGACAGAAAAGGAGGGAGGUGCGCCACGGAGCAAGCGCUAAGAUGUGCUUCGAAAGGCACAUAAUCUUCAUCUCCUACAGAUAUCUGCAACAUCUGCUGAUUUUAAUUCCCUGAUGUGCAGUUUGGUAAAUCCUACUCAUCUUUGCUAUCUAAAGCUCGGAGUCGUUAAGGUGCAUGAGGGUUUGCCUCAAGUUUGGAGCAAGUUUUGCCAUCUUCAAGUAUUAGAUUCUUUGUCUGGACGCUGCUGCAGAACAGACUUUGGACUGCAAAUCGACUGCUUGUGAGAGGCUGGAUCAUCAGGAUACUUGCUCCACUUGUGAUCAGGUGCUUGAGUCUGCCCACCACCUGAUAUUCGCCAAGCAGGUCUAGACUGCAUACCAAAAUACGAGACCACUGGCAAGCCAGGCAGAGCUGCACUCAACCUCUGUUGGGACUUGGGACCUGGUGGGAGACGAUCCUGCCUCUCAGGGAAAAAGGACAGGGCACUGAUGAUUGCACCUUCUCAGCUUACGUGGCAUGCAUGGAACCUCUGGAAUGAGCGAAAUCGAAGAGUUUUCAGAAAUCAGCAAAAGAACCCUGUGUGUGUUCGAAGAUUAACGAUGAGAUCAGCCUCUUUGAUGAGGCAUGGGAGAGCAAUAGUUUUUUUUUCUUUUGAACUGUACAGCCAGGCAGCUGAGGCAGGCCUUGCUUGUACUGGGUCUUUUAUUCUUUUUUCAGCUUUUCCUAGUAGCUUCACUACUACUGUAAAGUAUUUCCCCCUCCUUAAAUGAAAAGGCAGAGCACCUGCCGUUCCGGUCAAAAAAAAAUGUCAACUGUGUUGGUCAGUGGAUCUAGCUAGAGCCUUACUGCAGAACACAUGGCAGCAUAGGUAUAUUUGUCAUAACCGAGGUUAGCAUCUGUGGCUGCGUGCUGUUUUACUGCCUCGGAAAGUGGUGCUUCGCGGCCUUUUAGGCGCAAUUCCACCAUGGAUCAUGUCAUGCCCAGAGUUUACAUGCUGAAGUUCUGUUAUUAGUUUCUUGGAAAGUAUAAAAAGCUGAUCUUGUGACAGUUUCCUGGGCUGGCACGCUGUCACGUGAGCGCCUCGUCCUCAUGUAAUCCGUUUUGCUUGCCAUAUCCACUGAAAGCACCGAAAACAAAGUGAUACGUUAUUUACUGAAUCUUGUGAACUCAAACUGCAAACUUAAUCUUUUCAUCUCCUUGACUUGAGAAGGAACUCUGUGGGGACUUUGGUAAUCCCUAGUAAGAUAUGCAUUGUGCAGUCUGCAGUUCAUUACAAGAUUGCGUGAAGAAACAUUUGCAAAACUCCCUCGAUAUGAUAGGCCGUGCAGAAUUUCUCUGUAGCUACACUGAUGCACUUGGUAGGCCUGAACUCAUAUGUUGCGGUGUCUUGAACUGAUAUGUCAUACCUUGAUCCGUCAGAGUUCAGGACGCAUUCAGCAGCAGACGCCUAAUCGAUCUCUCCUUAAAUUUGAAUGUGCGACCCUACUGGUUGCUCACUACGUGGUUCUUGUUCAUUGUGCACUAUGCUAUCUUGUCAUCUUAUAUGGAGUUCAUUUCCUGGGGGUGCUUUGGGAUAAUUUUGCUCCAGGCAUGCUGUCCUUCUUCCGGUGAGGUUUGCAAAAACUUGUAGUAAUGACUUUGUGUUCCCCCGUUGUAAUCUUAAUCGUUUGUUUGUCAUGUUCAUGACUUGCUGGCCGCGUUUGGAAGCCCUGUAAGUACCAUAUUAUAGCUCUGAUCUCUUUGGUUUAUCUAUAAGAUUCAACCCAAAUAAACUCUAAACCGGCUAAGUUUCAACCCUCAACCAUGAGAACCGGCUAAUUUUUCUUGUCUCAGCUUGAACCUUCUUGUUCAAUUCUGCUUCUUCUUUCUUCUUGGCAGUUCUCUCCAAUGUAGCCAACCUUCUUCUCUCUGCAAGCUCAGCUUUCCUCUGUGCAACCUCAUGUUUCCUUUUUGCUAUCUCUGCAGCUCUCUUCAAUUCCUCUUCUCUUCUAGAUGCAAGUAUUGCCUUCUUCCUCUCCUCUACUUCCCUAUCUUUCUGAUUCUUCAUGGCCUCCAAUUUCUGUACCAACUCACCUGGCCUUAUGGUGCUUGAACUAGCUUGGCUCCCUUGGCUUCCAUUACUCUGGUUGAGCAGCACUUGGGCAGCAGUAAGGAAAGCAGAAGCAGGUACUGGCCUUUGUUCAACAACCCUUGUUGUUGGCAUCUACGAAGAAUGUACAUUUGAUGAGAAUAAUAGGAUAUUCAUGUACAAAGAAUGUACAUUUGAUGAGGAGAUCAGUAGUACCUGGGCAAUCAUGUUGUCAACCAUGAGAUCACCACAUGCAGGAGCCACAUUUGUAGGAGUCACAUUGGCACCAACAACACCUUCAUUUGGAGGAGUGGCAUUGACAGCAGCAGUACCUUCAUUUGGAGGAGGCACAUUGACACCAGCAUUACCUUCAUUUGGAGGAGGCACAUUUGAAGAUGGUUGAUCAUUUGGUGGAGGCACAUUAGGUGGUGGCAGUCCAGCCUUCAAGGUCUUGCACCCCUUCCUGUUGUGAUCUGCAUCACCACAAAGAACAAUGCAUAAUGACACCAUGCCUUGUGAUUUUCUUCCCUCCCCUCCUAUGAUCAACCUCUCCAGGUGCCUGUCUCCUUGUAGUACAUGGCCUUCCAACAUGCUUCUGGUACAAUGGUGGCAUUAUUGGAGGCCCAUGUAAGUCUUCCCAUUCACUCCUAUCUCUACAAGGAUAGAUAAUAUUGCCAUAUGCUUUCUUGAACACAUGUUUUGAGUAGCAAUGAUCAACCAUGUUCAAAGGAUCAACUCUAUCAUUCCUGCAGCAGGCUACCACAUGAGAGCAUGGAAUGCCUGCUUUCUGCAUUCUUCUACAUGUGCAGGUUUUCUUGUGCAUGUCCACUAUGUAAUCCAUUCCUCUAUCACCUGCUAGGAAUAAGCCAUCUCCUGAUCCCUCCACAUAGCAUGUGUUUGCAAAUUCUGUUACCUUUUCAACCUUCUUCCUGAUCUUUGGACAUACAUCUCCUUGCCAUUUAUCUGACUCCAGCUGUUUGUUGUAAUGCCUUGUCAUAAGUUGCAUGUAAAUCCUGUCAACCAUGAUCAGUAUUGGUAGUUCCCUUGCUUCCAGGAUAUACCUGCAUUUAACAGCAAACCAUGGUAAGUAUUGGUAAUUCACUACAUUGAAAAGCAUUUUGGCAAACUUCACAAAUGUACCUGUUGAAAACUUCACAAAUGUUGUUAAGCAGAAUAUCACAUUUUGGCAAGUCACUUUGAAAAGCCUUAACCCAAGUUUGUGGUUCUAGCUCAUGCAGCCAUUUGUAUGCCUUAACAUUAAGAACCUUCAUCUCCUCCAUGCCCUGUUCAUACAACUGCACUGUAUUGCUCCUAGCUAUCUUCCAGAGUUGAUUCUUCAAGAUGUCACCUUUGAAAUGUUGUUGAAAGUUUUGCCACAUGUGCCUAACACAAUAUCUGUGUUCUGACUCAGGGAACAGUCCUUCAACUGCAUUGAUGAGCCCCUACAAUUGCAAAGCAACAUAACCAUUCAGAAGCUAUUCACAACCAUUCACAUAGUAAUUACACAUAAACUUUGAAAAAAAAGAUGGUACUUACCUUUUGUUUGUCUGACAUGAUAGUCCAAGGUUCAGUGUUUAUGAUGCCUAGGUCCCUUUUGAGUGUGUCAAGAAACCAUGACCAGUUAGGGGUGUCCUUAACUUCAACCACAGCAAUGGCAAUUGGAAAUAUGCAGUUAUUUGGAUCUACCCCAACAGCUGCAAGCAGUUGUCCUCUGUAUCUAGUUUUAAUGUGGCAACCAUCUAGGAAGAUGACUGGUCUACAACCCUCCAGAAAUCCUCUCUUGCAAGCAUAUAGACACAUGUACAACUUGCUGAACCUAGCAUUUUCAUCUAAUGAAACAUAGAAGGAUGAGCCAGGGUUGCUUCUCCUUACCUCAUUAGCAUAAUUCCAUAGCAGCUUGUACUGCCCUUCCUCAUCACCAUAAAUAAUUUUUAUAGCCAUUCUCCUUGCUCUUUGAAGUUUCAUCCUAGUGGGUGUCAUAUGCCAUUCUUUCUGAACAACCCUUGAGAAAUUCAUCAAGUUCAUAUCUUGAUCAGCCCUAAAGCUCUCUAGGUAUUUCAUUGCUAGGAAUCUUGGUGUGAAAGCCCUAAUCUUCCACUUCUUGCUGCAUGUGUGCUCAUGCACAUAUCUCUUCACCAUGAAAGCCUUAGUUCUGCUAUCAUAUGAUGCCCACAAGUACCAUGUGCAGUCUUCAUCACAUUUUGCUUUCACUCUUUUCCUAUCAUUCACAGGAAGCUUGAUAUCAGCUCUGUUCUGGCAGGAGUACUCUUUAAUUGCUUUCUUAGAAGCUCCACACUCUCAAAAACCUGCCCUACAUGGAAUUUUGGCCUAUGAAGAUCCUCUGGUCUGAAAGUUUUGAACUUUAAAUGCAUUUCCUCAUCAUCAGAAUCAGGUGCCCACAAAUCUUCACCUUCAGACAAGUCUUCAUCUGAAUUGUACUGCUGCUUGCUUUUGUCUUCAUCUGUAGGUUUCACAUGCUUGACUUUCUCCUUUGAAUUGUUCUUAUGGUUCUGUUCUGGUUCAUCCUCAUCAACAUUAUCUGCAAACAAGUCAUCAUCAUCAUUUCCUAUCUCAUUGUCACUGUCCACAAGUACACCUGGGUCAUAGUCCUCAUCAUCUGUAUCACUUGCAUCAUCCUCUGCUUCCAUAUCAUGACUGCUUUUGAUCCUCCUACUUGAUGUGCUUCCUCCAACAUCCUCAUUUGCAACAGCUUCUGCAUCUUUCCCUGCUUCAACUUCAGGGUAUACAACCUGGAGAGGAGUAGGUGCUGCCUCUGGUUCUGCCUCUGCUUCCCCUGUUUUUGCAGUCAUGCUGCUGCCCACUCUUUUUGCAGGACUAAAUACUGGAGGCAAAGUGGCUCUAGGAUAGUUCACAACAUCAUCCUCACUUAGGUUUGCUUGUAAGCUCUCAUCAUGAUCAAGAUAUAUACUAAAGGAGUGGUGCCCAAUAUCAAUAAACAUCAACAUUCUAUCUGUUUGCUCAUCAUCACUAAGCUGCUUGAGACCAUUAUUACUGAGUGUAAGGAUGGUUGACACAAUAGUAUACCUUCAACCUCCCUGCCAUCUCAUAACCAAUCUCCUCAACAAGGUGUUCAAUCAUAAUUGGUGACCAAGUGACCUUCUCCAGAUUAUCGUACCAAAUGGCACGACCAUUAACAUAAGCACGAUUACUUCCAUGCCCAACAAAAAAUCCACCAUGGUUGAUUUGCACAGAGAAGUUGGUGCUUCGAGGGCCUGAUACACAAGACAGAAACAUCAUGCAUCAUAAUUGACUCUAGCAUCAUUUCAUUCGAGUUUCUAAAACCCUAACCCCCAAAGACCAUCAAAUCCAAUACCGAAACCAUCGAAACUACCAGCUGCAUACCAUCUAUAAUGACAAUGCGGGCCAAAAAGGAGUGUCUUUGAACAUCAAAAUGCAAAAAAAGUCGGAUUUAUGCAAGAUGAAACUUACUGUACACGGGGGGAGGCGCCCCUUCUGCGCGACGAACAGGGGCCAUCGCCACCACCUACCACCGGUGGAAUUGACGCGGCGGCGGCGCCUCUCCAGCCACGGAAGAAAUCAGCACGCGGCGGCGCCUGUAGGCCGAUGAUCGCCGGGGCGGCGACGCCUAUGCAGCGCCUUCCCUGUCUCCAAUCGAAGACGAAGAGGCGUCGUCAGAUAGAGGAGCGGGGCGGACAGCGGUGGUGUGGUGGGGCGAUUUUACACUUAAUCCCUCGCCGCAAGAUUGGCCUAAUCGGAGCUGAGAACGUGGCGGUCAACAGGUGGUCAAAGGAGCGGCUACUCACCGCAUACGACCAACAGUGACCGUACAUUCACGUCACAUCGUAUAUAGUGACCGUAACAGCCGUAUUUCUAAGUUCAGUGACUGUAUCGGGCUCUCGUCGCAACUACAAUGACCGUGAGUGUAAGACAAUAAGUUUUGGGGGAACCAGCACAACCCUCUAGGGGUGGCUUAUCUCAUUAUAUAUAAUGGAUGUGUUACAAUAUGUACAAUAUACGUACAUAAGUACAGAAGCUAUACAUAGUCUAACACCCUCCCUCAAUCUUAGCCACUUUCUAAAGAACUGAGAAGGGUAAGAUUGCGCCUACAAGCCUCAAACUGUGGCAGAGGUAAAGGCUUAGUGAAGAUGUCUGCAAGUUGAUCCUUAGAUGAGAUAAACUUGAUCUGGAGUUGCUUCUGUGAUACACGUUCCCGUACAAAGUGAUAAUCAACUUCAAUGUGUUUCGUUCGGGCAUGAAAUACUGGAUUUGCAGAAAGGUAUGUAGCACCGAUGUUAUCACACCAAAGAAUAGGAGGCUGUGGUUGAGACAAACCCAACUCCUGAAGCAAAGACUGCACCCAAAUAAUCUCUGUAGUAGCAUUAGCCACAACCUUGUACUCAGCUUCAGUACUGCUACGUGACACAGUAGCCUGUUUCCGAGCACUCCAGGCGAUCAAAUUAGGGCCAAAGAAUACUGCAUAACCCCCCGUGGAUCGCCUGUCAUCUGGGCUACCAGCCCAAUCUGCAUCAGAGAAGGCCGAAAGGACCCGAGAGGAAGUCGGCCGAAUAUGCAUACCAAAUGUCAGGGUGAACUGAACAUAACGAAGAAUGCGUUUAACAGCAGCCCAAUGAGUAUCUCUGGGAGCCUGAAGAUACUGACAAACCCUGUUAACAGCAUAAGAGAUAUCCGGUCUCGUGAUCGUCAAGUACUGAAGUCCACCAACAAUGCUCCUGUACUCUGUGGCAUCCGCAGGAGACAAAAGCUCACCAUCAACAGCUGUUAUCUUGUCGGUAGACGACAUGGGUGUGGUGGUCGGUUUGCACUUCAGCAUGCCCGCUCUUUGUAACAACUCCAAGGAGUACUUCUUCUGCGUAAGGACAAGACCAGUAGCACGAGAAGUGACCUCAACUCCAAGAAAGUAGUGAAGCUUCCCAAGAUCUUUGACCGCAAAAUCAGCACCAAGAGAGCAGACAAGAGCAUCAGCAGCAUACUGAGAAGAGCUGACAAGGAUAAUAUCAUCGACAUAUACCAAAAGAUACAUAGUGACUUCUGGCUUCUGUAGAAGAAAUAAUGAAGUGUCAGCAGUGGACGGCACAAACCCAUGAGCACGAAGGGCAGAGGCAAGGCGGGCAUGCCAGGCACGAGGAGCUUGCUUCAAACCAUAUAGUGCUUUGGAGAGACGACAGAUAUAGUCAGGACGAUCAGGAUCAGAGAAACCAGGCGGUUGUUUCAUAUAAACCUCUUCCUCCAAAAAUCCAUGUAGAAAAGCAUUCUGCACAUCAAGUUGACGAAGUGACCAACCACGAGAAACAGCAAUGGAGAGAAGAAGCCGAAUAGUGGUAGGCUUGACGACAGGACUGAAGGUGUCCUCAUAGUCAAGACCAUGGCGCUGCCGAAAACCGCGAGCAACAAGUCGCGCUUUGUAACGCUCAAUAGAUCCAUCCGAAUGCUUCUUCACUUUGAAUACCCAUUUUGAGUCAAUAACAUUUACCCGUGGUGGUGGAGGAACGAGAGUCCAUGUCUUGUUACGAAGGAGAGCAUCAAACUCCUGCUCCAUAGCCUCUCGCCAAUGUGGAAUGCGCAGGGCAGCCUGAUAUGAGCGAGGCUCAGAAGAUGGAUCCGCAACAGCAGCAGCCAAACAAGCAGCCAACCAAGCAACCGUACCAUCCUUACGUUCCUUAGGUUUGAAAAUGCCACUGCGACUGCGUGUAUGUGGUCGGGACACAGGAACCACCGAGGUCGACGGAGCAGCCUGCAACGGGCUGGAGGACGGCGACGUUGACGAGUCAGCCGGUGACGAGGAGCCAGACACGGUAGCCUCGGGCUCGGUCGGCGAAGAAGGCCGGCCCACCGGCGAAACCGGCAGAGCAGACGAAGCAGUUGGCGACGCCGGCGUCACAGACCGGGCCGAUGGCGAGCCCGGCAUAGUGGGCUGUGGCGCGGCCGGUGUCGCGGGCCGAUCCGCGGAUGAAGGCGACGUGAGGACGGCGUCGCGGACCCGAGCUGCAGGCGAAGACGGCGUGACGGGCCGAGCCGCGGGCGAAGACGGCGUGACAGGCCGAGCCGCUGAAGACUCGGCGGCCGCUGGCGAAGAGGGCCGAGCCGCUGGAUACUCGGCGGUCGCUGGCGUAGCGGACCGAGCAGUGGAGAUGCUCGGCGCGACGGGCUCUUCGGGUGACCAUGCAUGGGCACGCGAAUCGAUGCCAUGCAACAUAGGGCGAUCGACGUGCCCAUCAGAAGGCGGCGAUGAUGAUGGUGAAUCCUCCAACAGCUCCAAACGAGCCCCACGUCCGGUUCCUACACCAUGGUUAGGUAACAGCAAAGGAGAGUAUGCAACAUCAUCAAAUUGGUCAGAAGCAACAGAGGAUGAAUGCAGAGAUGGUGGUUCGAUAGUGGACACAGGAAGUUUGGCAAAGGGAAAAACAUGCUCAUCAAACACGACGUCCCGAGAUAUAUAGACACGAUUAGUGGGAACAUGAAGACAUUUGUAACCUUUAUGAAGAGAGCUAUAGCCAAGAAAAACACACUUCUUAGAACGAAACUCAAGCUUGCGCUUAUUAUAUGGACGAAGAUGCGGCCAGCAAGCACACCCAAAUACCUUGAAAAAGGUAUAAUCAGGUUGUUCAUUAAGGAGAACCUCAAUGGGAGUCUUCAUGUUUAAAACACGAGUGGGAGUACGGUUGAUGAGAAAGCAUGCAGUGGUGAAAGCAUCACUCCAAAACCGAAACGGAAUAGAUGCAUGGGCCAAAAGAGUAAGACCAGCUUCAACAAUAUGACGAUGCUUACGUUCGACUGAACCAUUCUGCUGAUGUGUAUGUGGACAUGCUAAACGAUGAGCUAUCCCAAGCGACUGAAAGAAGGAGUUGAGGUUNNNNNNNNNNNNNNNNNNNNNNNNNNNNNNNNNNNNNNNNNNNNNNNNNNNNNNNNNNNNNNNNACUGGACAUGAACAAUUUUGUGCUUGAGAAGACGUUCAACAUGUUUUUGAAACUGAACAAAAAUAUCAAACGCAUCAGAUUUGCGUUUAAUAAGGUAAAGCCAGGUAAAGCGACUAUAAGCAUCAACGAAACUGAUAUAGUAAUUAUGACCACUGACAGAAGUCUGAGCAGGACCCCAUACAUCUGAAAACACAAGUUCUAAAGGAUGUUUCACCUCACGACUGGACUACGAAAAAGGAAGUUGAUGACUCUUCCCCUGCUGACAAGCAUCACACACUGCUACAUCUUUAUUACUAGACAAACUAGGAAGCUCAUGACGAUGCAAAAUAUGACGGACAAUAGGUGUGGCGGGGUGACCAAGACGAGCAUGCCACUGUGACGGAGAGACCCGAACUCCACUGAAAACACGGGCGACGCCAGGAUGCUCCAGACGGUAGAGGCCCUGGCACAACCGCCCACUAAGAAAAAUGUCCCUCGUGCCCCGAUCCUUAAUAAAAAGAUCAAAAGGGUGAAAUUCACAAAGCACAUUAUUAUCACGUGUGAGUUUAGGAACUGAAAGAAGAUUACGGGUCACAGAUGGAACUCGAAGAACAUUGCGAAGCUGAAGACUCCUAUUGGCAUGUCUAGUGAGAAGAGAUGCUUGACCAAUAUGAGAGAUGUGCAUACCUGCUCCAUUGGCGGUGUGGAUCUUGUCGGAGCCAUGAUAGGGUUCACGAGUGUGAAGCUUCCCCAUCUCGCUGGUCAGAUGCUCUGUCGCCCCAGAGUCCAUGUACCAGUGUGGAUCGAUGGAGUAGGACUGAGUGUGUCCCUGUUGCUUCUGCGGCGCGGGACGAUCAGCCAUGGCGACCUGAUGGGCAUUGUUGCGUGUAUCUUUGCCGUCAUUGCCAAGACCAAGGAAGCUUCGCUGGAAGCGCUUAUGACACUUGGAGGCCCAGUGCCCAUCGCGGCCACAAAGCUGGCACACACGUGGACCGCCAGCCCCCGGUAAGGUCGCAGUAGGUGGGGGGGCCGAGGCGGGCGACGGUGGCAGCCCCAAGGGAGACCGGGGUGAUGAAGAAGAGCGGCCACCCUUGGUGGCGGCGUUGGCCGAGAGGGAGCCAGUGCCCCUGGAGCGGCGUGUCUCGACCCGUUGCUCAGUGAGAAGGAGCCGAGAGAAAACCUCGUGUGCCAGCAUGGGUGUCGAGUUGCCCCGCUCGUUGAUGAUCUCGACUAAGGCAUCAUACUCCUCAUCAAGACCAUUGACAAUAAACGAGUUGAACUCGGAGUCGGUGAGGGGCUGUCCAAUGGAGGCCAAUGUGUCGGCGAGGCCCUUGACCUUGUUGUAGAACUCAGUGGCAGUGGAGUCAAGCUUCUAACACUCUCCAAGCUGACGACGGAGUGCAUAGACACGAGCCUGGGACUGCGCUGCAAAGGUUCGCUCAAGAAUGGUCCAGGCCUCAUGAGACGUCUUCGCGAAGACAACAAGUCCGGCAACUGCCGGCGAGAGCGACCCCUGGAUGGAGGAGAGGUUCGCCUGGUCCUGCCCCGUCCAGACGCGAUGGGCCGGAUUAUAGACCGGACCGUGCACGCUGUCUACCAGUGCGGGUGGGCAGGGAAGCGAUCCGUCGACGUAGCCUAGCAGGUAGUGACUCCCCAAGAGCGGGAGAACCUGCGCACGCCAGAAGAUGUAGUUGUCGGCGGAGAGCUUGAUGGUGAUGAGAUGACCGAAGUGAAACGGCGGCGGCGAAGACGAUCCCAUCGAGGGGGCUGCCUGGGGUGCAAACACCAUGGAGGCAGCCGGAGGCACCGAAGCCGAUGCGGGAGGAGGCGGGACCGCAGCCAGGGCGGACAUCGCAAAGCUCGCGGCCGGGUCGGACACCGCAAGGCCCGCGGCCGGGGCGGACGCCGCCAACCCUGCCAGCGGGGCGGUGUGAUCCGCUUGCGGCAGGAGCGGCGGGACGACGCCCGCGGAGUCCGCAGCGGACGGCGGCGCCGUGGUGUGGACCACGAGGUCGCGCCCAAGCGAGGGCGCCGGCGGCGUGGAGUAGACGGAGCCGAUGCUCCUGGUCCCGAUCGGAGCCGGAACGGCGACGGCAUCGAGCGGGAGGUUGAGCAGAGCCGCAAGAGAGGCCGGGAGGAACCCCGCAGCAGUGGAACCGGUGGUGGCGGCGCUCGACAUGGCGGCGGUGAAGGCGGCGGCGGCUGCGGCUGCGGCGGCGGUGCGGGUAUUAGGGUUUGGAAGCGGAAGCGAUCGUAACCUAGCGUGAUAACAUGUAAGACAAUAAGUUUUGGGGGAACCAGCACAACCCUCUAGGGGUGGCUUAUCUCAUUAUAUAUAAUGGAUGUGUUACAAUAUGUACAAUAUACGUACAUAAGUACAGAAGCUAUACAUAGUCUAACAGUGAGGGUAUUUAUCUCCGAAUUAAAACUCGGGUUGAUUCCAGUGUCCACUGCAUGCAUCGAUCCCCGAUUUGAUCCCCGCACGUCGUUAGUCAUUACUCGAUCGGUUGGUGAUCGACUUUGCAUCGGCUGGUGGUCGAUCGCAUCGUCGUAGGUUCCACGCCGUACAUGCCCUUUGCUAGGGAGCCUACAUAAGUCAGAGCGUAACUGAUUCUCCGUCUUUCAUUUCCGCGAGUGCGGUGCGCCAGCCGGGCAUUAAUAUACCAGUGCAACAAGAGUUGGAGCUCGCAGCGUGGAUUGGCCUGGCUGGUUACCAACUCUUAUAGCAUCUCCAAUGCCGAAUCUCAAAUCGCUCGUCAUCGUCUAGACCGAGCUGUCUAAAGGGCAUUUUGUCAAUCCAACGUGGCACCUCAUCGGUCCAUAGAGUAGUUCAAACGUCUACUUUUCCACAAGCGGACGCAAACCAGGGGCUUUGCGGGCGUCUAGACCGCUGCCACGUACCCGGCCGCCAACCCGGUCCCACCCAAAUCCUCUCCCACGCCCGCACACUCUAACCUGCAAAGCGGUUGCCGCGCAUUCAUGCCGGUCCAGAGUGCCAACGCCUCAUGCAGGCCGGCCUAGAGCGGAUACAACCUCUUACUGCAGCAGCAGUUAUUGAAGCGGCAUGUCAGCAAAAGGCGUUGCCUAUUCUCCGUGCAUGUUCCAAUACCGGAGACGCGUGACCUGGCGGGGCUGGACGACUGUGCACCGCAUUCAAACUGGAUCUCGCUCAUCUUCUUGUCAGCAUUAAACUGGUGCGGCAGCAGAGAAACCUACUCCGGCACCCGUAUUGGAACACCACGCCACGUGUCCCGAAUGGUGUAGCUAUUUAAACGCUGCCUCCUCCCCUUGCACGACCAGCACGACCACACCACGUCAUCCAUGACCACGAGCUGUAGACAUAUGUGGGAGAGCCUCAUGAUGGAGUAGAAGGAAGAGUUGGCCUGCAUUGGGGCCGACCGGGUGGCCCGUCGUGCGCGACAGACUGAGGAUGGCUUGCCAGCUAGCUCGUCGGAGGUUAGCGAAGAGGAGGCGUCUGACGAUGAUCUGAUGCCCUAGCCUGCGUAGUUGCACUUCAAUGUCAUUGUGGCUGAAAAGCAGCCAGUGUCACCUGUCACGGCGUCCCAACAGGAACCGGGGACGGGGCAGCACUACACCCUCUGGCUCCUUGACGAGCACCGGAUCGCGGGGGCGGGGAGGGGAGGCAAAUCAUCGACGAGCAGGCGAAUGACGAUGUCAUCAAGGCAUGGUCACGGAGGAACCGAGCUUCUUGGAUGAGCAGUGGGCGUUGGACAAGUUCAUGCGGGAUUGCAACUGCGUAUCCAGCGGGCGAACAUAUAUGCCUUGUUCACGGAUAUCGACGCGGUGGCAGAGGAAGAGGUUGCGCAGGCAACCGCGGACAUCGCUAGCUCCGCAUCGGCCAUGCCACCACUGCGGUUCGCGCCCCGCCACAAUGACCAAGACCCGACCUUGCACGUCCAGUGCCAUCGAUAUGGCGGACAACGGCAUGGAAAAGUAGAACAUGGAAGGCCACCAUGGCUUGAGUCCCAGGAAGACCACUGCCCACGUCUUGUCGGGGAUCACAACUCGUUAGCUUGUCGGACAUGGUGAAGACUGCCAUGGGAACGGACGCCACUGUGGCUGGCGAUCAUUUAGACUAGGUUAAAAAAGUCUAGUCCGCUAUAGUUUAGUUGAAAUAUGGUGAAAUGUAAUGAUUUUGAUCCGAUUUAGAUGAAAAUCAUCCAGUUUGCAUGAAUGUUAUCUGGUUUAUUCAAAUUCACUUCAAAAAUGUAUGCGGGAACGGUUGGAUAUCCGGCUCCCAUAUCACUUUUUCCGGACGCAUCUGGGCGCGUCGGCAGACGAUUAUUGUGUCCUUUUUAGGGGUUCGCAGUGGAGCUGCCCUUAUGUGGCUUUUAUAUUCGUUCCAAAGGGCCUUUAGAAGGAAAACUAAUGUCUCCAGAGUAAAUGUGCACAGUCAGGUUUCAUAAGCUGUAGCAUCAUUUCCUCUCCUGUUUCUCUCAUUUACUUUGUUGUUUAUAUCGCUCCAUUUAACAUCCAAUUUCAAAGGAAGAUGACACAAACUUUUAGGUGUUGAGCGUCACACAAUUUCACAAAAUUUGCAAUACAUUAAUCUCAAAAUGUCAAACUCAAGUCCAAAUGUGACUACAUAUAACCAUGCAUAGAUAGUUUCCGAAUGUGACAUAGACAUGGAUAGGUUCUAAGACAUACUGCAAAUAUCUAAGGACGCAAUGGGACGACAUAGCAUGGAUUGUGCUCGUCAUAGGAGUAGGAGAAAGAUAUUUCCAUGAUCAUGGCGGCAGCCGCCUGGGCAGCCCUCAUCCGUCCAUCCCGCUUGGCCCAGGCGGCGGUCUCGAAGGUGUAAGGCUCUGUUGUAUCCUUGAGCAUAUGCUCAUGUUUGGCCAAGCGUGGGCCUUAGUGGUGGAAGUGGAGGCCUCUAUCGCCUUCUGGAGCCUCCUCUCCUCUUCGGCCAUGGUCAUGCCAUCCUCAUUGGCCGACUCGACGAGAUUAUCCCAAGUGAUCUCGUCAUGGGAGUCCUGGGGAGGCAGGAGGGCCUGGACAUCAAGGGGAACUGAAAAGUGCACCUAUUGCCUUUAGUAGGUUUUGAUGAUAUAUGAUAGCUUGAUUAACAGUACUAAUGUUUUCUCUCAGUGUUUAUCAUCUUAUGUCCCAAAAGAUGCGAUUUCAUAGUAUUUAGUGAUCGAAUAUCACUUUGGAUCCAAAGACAUGCCAAUAUUAUCAAAGGGGGAUUCAGGUAUGUGUGAUAAAGUUUUUUUUGAAAGUUCUUGAAGAUCGGACUUUGAAAAGGUCAGAAGUCUCAUAAAAUCGAGUAGGAGUGAAAUCGGAUCAGAUUCAGACGGAUAAUGUGCAUGCCAUACCCUAUUCUGUUUUUUGGAUUUGAAAGCAAGACAAAUGUGGUAUGGAUGCAGAUUCGAAUACCGGAUUAUGUUGGAUUCAGACAUGGUACGGUGACAAAUCGGACACAGAUCAGAAACAGACAUACUACAUGCAUAUAUGACGAAUAUAUACAUGCUCUAAACUAAAAUUAUACAUAAAACCAAAGUAAAUAUUAGUAAUUAUACACUUAACACAUAAAGCACUAGAAGGUACUAAAGUAAUCCAAAUAAAAUAUAAGAAGCACAUAUCUAAUGUCAUAAGCAUAUAAAUACAAGUAUUGCUAGUUAAUAUUUAAAACUGUACCAAUUAAUUAUAUAACCAUAUUUAAAAGUUUGGAUUAUCCAUAUAAAAAGGAUUAUCAUAACCAUGGCAUAUUAGUAAGGGCAUCUCCAAAGCGUACCCUCAAACCUCCCCUAUAUGUCCUGGCCACAGUUCUGGAACACUUUUGUCAUCCAAUGGGAACCUAUAUAUGUCCGCUGAGCAGUCCGUACGUACGAAUUCCGGCAUCCUAGUAACAAAUGUGGAGGGGGAGGGGGGUUUGCCGGAGUCCGGACAUGCACUUGACCAACACAAAGCCUCCGGUCUUCCUCUCUUUUCUCUCUAUCUUCACAUGCAUGGCCCCCCUCCCCUCAUUCUCUUCCGAACCAGAUACCACACCACAAUAUCCCAUCAAAAGUAUCUGCAUGCAUGGUAUCCCCUUUUUGUCUCUCCUCCCAACCGGACAAAUAUAGAUUAAUUUGUGAAUAGCGUUGGAUGGCUCACAUGAAAAUCAUAGAUUAACUUUAUCAUAAGCUUUCUCAUACUGAAUUAUAAAAACCAAGCAUCUCUGCUUCGAAGUCAAAAUGGAAUGCACGGUGUUCCUCGUAAUAUUGCGUCUUCAUGGAAAAUGACAACGGUUGGGAAAGGGUGUACUUCGCAAUUGAUUAUAGCUUGAUUCAUACAUAGUAACUUCUUACAAAAAUUGGCAGAAAUAUUACAAACCUUGGUAAAGAAACACCAACACCCACACACUUGUCUGACACACUGACCCCUGACCCUCAUAACACUUAUUCUGAAGUCAUUAUGCAAAUAUUGAAAAACAGGGUAGGGAAUGAUAAAAGGCUAAACCAACCGUGCAUGCGGCGAUCAUAAAUAGCAACGUCACCCAGAGCACGAAACCAUGGGGAUUUCAGUGCUGGCCCGGAAGGUGGUAGAGACUGGAUCACUGGAGUCAGUGGUGUCCAUGGUAUCCACCGCCACCGCCACCGCCGUAGGUGGGCAUGGGAGGGACGGGAUGGUAGUCUGGGUGGGGCUGCGGCUUCGGCUCCGGCUUGGCCGCUUGGGCACGGGGUGGUAGUCCGGGUGAGGCUGGGGCUUGGGCUCCGGCUUCGGUGGCACGGGCUUCUUGUGGUGGAAGUGCUCGAUGAUGUGCUUCUUGAUUGUCCCGCACAGGGUCAUGGACGCACACUCGAGCGACGCCACGGAUGGCGUGGCGGUAUUGGCGCCGGCGAUGACACCGAAGGUGGUGCCCUCGGACACCGGCACGAUCUUGGAUGGCUCCUGGCCAGGGCACGGCGCGUUGGAUGCGGCGCUAUGGAGCUGAGCCAUGCAGUCGGCGCCAUGGAGGUCAGAAGCGAGGGGCACGCUGAAGGCGCCGGUGCCGUCGAGGGCACCCACCGCCUUGCUUGCUCUCGUAGUCGCCGUAGACGUUCUUGCACCUGAUCGCCACCUGGAGACCUGAGGUACGUUGACGGCAGAGGACAACCAUGAGCCGAUCUCCAUCUAUAUAGGUGUGUAUUUCGGGUGUGUAUAUAGUAGUAGUACGAUUGAGCUGCAUAUGUAGCUUACCCUUGAAGGCUUCCUCGGCCUUGAUGUUCUUCCUGGUGCAGUCGGCGCACUUGGCCAGACCGACGACGACGGACGCCGCCUCGGCGUUGGAAACGGCGGUCGCCAGGAGGACGGUGAGGACCAGUGCUCUCGUUGGAGCCGCCAUGUUUUUUUUUAGAAUGAAGGCUCGCGAAGAGCCCGACUUUGAAUUAACAAAACCAUCAACUGGCCAGGAAUUACAGACAAACAACAGACCACAUCGGCCCAACAAUACAAGGGAGCAUUCUAGGGAGCUUACAACUCAACGCCGCGCACAAGCUUGAAAGAAAAAUUAAAACAAAGCCCAUAGCUUGCACUAGCAGAAGACCGCAACAAACAGUACCGAGGGAAGCGACCAUCAAGCAGGAUUGAGGACCUGCUAAAACAGAGUGUGGGCAUGAACUGAACUGACGCCCAGGAUGAAGAGAUCGAAGCAUCUUCCUCCUCUCGUGCCGCCAUGUCUGAACCCGUGAAUCGAACUCAGCUUGCCUGUGUGAAGUGGCUGAUGGAUGAAUGGAUGGAACAGGCGACGCAUGGCUUUUAUAGGCCGCCGCAUUGAUCGGCGCAGCUCGAUGGGUGGUGUGGUGGCCGGCGAAGUGAUGCGUGACAACGAGAGGCCGGCUAACUCACCGAAAUUUCAGAUGGCGAGUUGAAUACCGCGCCGGCUGGAUGAUCGGAUCGGUCGGUGCGUGUGCCUCCACGUCGCUAUUGGUGAUCAACUUGGUUUGGUGGUGGAGUACGUAGGUAGGCACGGGCCGCGUCUCUCGGCAUGCACAUGCAUUUGCGUGAGUGCGUGCAUGCAUGCAUGCAGCGUAAGUUCGUAGUAGUACCCUGUUUGCUGGUGGUAAGCUGGUGUUGGAUCGACAUCAAAAUUGCUGUAAAGUGUAUGUCCAUUUUGGGGAGUAGGGAGCUUGCGGUACAGUACCAGUGAGCACUGCUUUGUUGUUCACAAGUAGAAUGUUGUGAAAAUAUGAGCAGCUUUCAGUUAUGUUUAAUCCACGAAAAAACAGAUAGAAGAUGAUCAACAUAUAGUUGACAUGAUAUUCCAACAAGAGAAGUUGGUAAACAGAACAAAAGAUCGAAGGCUAAUAGUUCAAGUUCACAUGAUCCCAUACAAGGUUAGAUUUGAUCUUACCAACAACAAGUUGCAUCGGAAAAAGAGUUGCUGAAGAUCGUGUUCUUGAAGUCCCACAAACAUAACCCUCGAACUAGAACUGAACAUACAGCCCCUCUAUGGAUCGCACCCUUAGUAUGAAACCAUCGAAUUCGAGGAUGUAGCCAAGUGCUAAUUUCAAAACGGUGUAGUGUUCAUGGUUUGAGAGUUCCAGGUCUACUUGCUACUCGUUCUAUGCCACAAUAUUUUUUGGCGAAAAAUUUAUUUUCAUCUUUUUAUUCCACUUUUUGACAAGCUAGUGAAGCCAAAAAUAACCUAACAUGUUAGGAUUGACAACCUACACUUAACUAUCAAGACUAGUGGGUGUGGAAGACCCUAUAGUCAUUCAAAAGUAACAAGUACACUAGAACUCAACCUAAUUCAUAUCUCCAAUAGAAAUAUUGAACGUUGUAGUAUCAUCAUUCAUCAUUAAGACACGCUGAUCGUAGAUAGAUAGUUCCUCCCAUACUCAUGGGGAGCUUUUUUGCAAUUUACGUAUUAUGCAAACUGAAAAUAAACUAACUCAAUUUUGAGGAAAGUAAACAUAUGAAAACGGUAAAGAUGUAAGGGCUUAUAUAUGAAUCUCCCCAAGCUUAAGCACUAAACCGGCAGGAUCUAAUAAUCCCUCUCAGUCGAUGGUACCUCGGGGUUUCUUCUCCCUUGUAGUGGAAGUGUUGUAUGCAAGGGCCUGAUGGAACAACUCAUUAGUCUUCUCUAGGUCAGCGAUGUGAUGUUGGUUCAUCCGCACAAUUUCCUCUAGGUUGGCAGUGAGGCAGGCGUUGAGAGUGGACUACUGGACUUAGUGUCCUCAACAAUCUUUUUCUCCAACUGCCUGAGAUGUUCAUGCAAAGGAUCACGGUUGAUGGGUGACCCAUUAGCAUGUACCUCAAGCCAACGAAUGUGCUCGUUGAUGUUGAUAGGAUGCGGCUUCCGUGCAUAAUUGGGGUUGACGGGGUACUUCUUCUACCAUGCUCUAGGAAGCUUGACAGAUAUAUGAGCCCCAAUAUUGAUCUUCUUGCCGGUGGUGUGGUGUGACAAGUUUAUUGAUAGGUACCCUCCAACGAUAUAUGGAUGGUAUGGCCAUCCACGACGGUUGGGGUACCCUCCUUGGGGACUUCUUCCUCAGAUGAGCUAUCUCCACCUUGAUCCCACAUUCGCCAAUCAUGCUUGAGACCUCGUCCCAACGCAUCGGGAGAAGCGUCUUCCAGCUCGAAAUCCUCCUCGUGGAAUGGGCUUGAUCCAUGUGGUGGGCAUCCGCCGGCUGCAAAGGCGACCCUCCUCCUCCUGCGAGGUCAUCUGGCAUUCGUCCCAUGAGCGUGUCAUGGCCUAAGAGAUGCUUGCCUUUACAUAAAACUUAAUAUGCAACUGGAAUAGAUUGGUUUGUCAAUGGCUAAAGGAGAGCACUCCCCAAAGGUAUAUAAAGACGUAAACCCGUCAAAUAUUCAUGAGAUUAAUUUUUGGAAGAAGAUUAGGAAAUAACCAAAGAUUUUCGGGAAAGAAUAAGGUGUCGCCGCGCGAUCAGAAGAAAAGAAGUGGCGUGGUACAAGCGAUUGCGCUCAUACCAACAGACCACCGUGUCGGUGCCCUUCGGGCAAUCGCCGCUCUGGCCCACCCAGUACAAGGCACCUAUCUACUUUGCCACCAAUCAAUACGAUCAACCCGGAGUGCAGCAAUCAUCGCAGUACUCAAUUGCAUCCUUCAUCUCCGGCCACCCUCCACUCUACAUCAUCGACCACAACAAUGACUACAUGUUCACCGAGUCGCCGACACUCGUCCAGUUGCGGCUUCCGUCCAAGGAGCCCAUGUCCGACGGUGCCCAAUCACUGUUUGGCGGAAUGCCUCCCCUAAGCUCGAUGGCGGCGACUGAGCAACGAGGCAAUGAUGAACAUGAUCCUUAAUGGUGACGGCCAUGAAGAUGUACAGGUCUAUGAUGACUACUUACCGCAUCCGGAGCAAGAGACGUUGACGGACACCCGGUAGUCAUCGGUGCUCGAUGCGGACAGAAAUAAAAAGAGGGAUUUGGCGUACUCGAACAAGGAGGAUGAAUUAUUUUGUUUGAUGUGGUUAGGCACAAGUGUUGAACCGUUUCAAUGUACGGAGAAAAAGGGCUCGGCAUUUUGGCAAAGUGUGCACGAUUGGUUUCAUGGGAAAAGCAUUAUGAGCCCUACAACAAGGAAGUUGCUAAGCCAACAAUGGUACAUCAUUCAAGGGGCCAUCAACAAAGUAUCACGGUCCGUAUGCACAAAUAGAAAACUAGUGACUAAGUUGUGUGUCAACACUCCUUGAGUUCGUAACUUUUCUUCGUGAUGCUCUAUGUGUUGGUCAUUUGAUUGAUUUUCUCUAUGUUGCAACUUGUUGAUCAUGUCAUUGUAUUGCUUUGCUAGCCCGGACGGGUAGCCAUGUUGUACCACAAGAUUGAGGGCAAGCCAUUCAUGAUGAUGCAUUGUUGGUACAAGUUGAAUGCGCAAAGCAAGUGGAGCAGCAUUACCAAUUCUCUCAAGACCACCAACCCAAAGCAAGUGAUGAAGGUGGUGAUCCAAUCGGUGCAAUUUCUAGGAGGGCUUGCACUAGCCACCCAUGUGGCUAGGUCAACGGGAAAUAAAUGGGUGAAUGAGAAAGGAAGCGAGAAGGAGUGGCGGCCAAGACGACGGGGAAAUUAUAGGACAUCAUGGCGAAGUAAGAAGAGGCAUGUGCCAAGCACAAUGAGAUCAUGGAGGAAAUUGUUCGUGGAAAUCCAAAAGAAGAAGAUUGAGUUUAAGGAUAGGAAGCUUGCGGUCAAGUAAGUGUGUGAGGAGCAAAAGGUCUAGUACAUGGAGGCUGAUGACUUGGAUCACGACGCGGCCAAGCUUGUUCACGACUUGCAUGAUAGCAUGUACACACGCCUUGUGUAAAAGGAGAGGGGAAAGUAGGCCAAAAAUUGAGGCAUUUGAUAUGGACAGCCGGUUCAUUGCUUUUGGGGUCGAUAUAUAGAUGUACAAAACUUAUUGAGUAUCCGAUGAUUUUGCUAUUGGUUACAUUUUUUUGCAACCAUUUAAAUGUAUGAUCGAAUUGUUAUUGCUCUAGAAAAUUUGACAAAGAGAGAAGGCCCGACAAGUACCUAGGACAAAAUUUGAAGGACACAAUUGCAUGACACAUCCGUGAAGGACGCAAUUGCAUGACACAUCCGCCCGGACGGAUGUUGGCGGACAGGGAAAAAUGAAUGUACUUUUUUUUUGCGGUUGAAAAAAAAUGAAUGUACUUGAUUGAUCAAGAUAUAAUGAUCGAGUAACUUUUCAUUACCAAAAUUCACACCGGUAUUACAAACCUUGGGAAAAAAUGGCCCAUGACCCAUACAUUUGCCUGACACCCGUACUUAUCCCUCAGAACUGUUAUUCUGAAUGAUAGAAGACCAAGCUAACCCGUGCACAUAUAAAUAGCAACCUCAUUCACUCACUGACAGCAACAAGCCAUCUCAGUGCUGGGCGGGAGGGUGGCAGAUCGGAGUCAGUGGUGUCCGUGGUAUCCACCGCCACCGCCACCGCCGCCGCCGUAAGUGGGCGUGGGAGGGACGGGGUGAUAGUCCGGGUGGGGCUUCGGCUUGGGUUCGGGCUUGGGCACGGGGCCAUAGUCCGGGUGGGGCUGGGGCUUGGGCUCCGGCUUGGGCGGCACGGGCUUCUUGUGAUGGAAGUGCUCGAUGAUGUGCUUCUUGAUCGGCCCGCACAGGGUUGCGGACGCGCACUCUGGCGAUGCCACCGUGUCUGUCUUGGCGCCGGCGACGACACCGAAGGUGGUGCCCUCAGACACCGGUACGAUCUUGGAUGGCUCCUGGCCCGAGCAUGGCGCGUUGGAGGCGGCGCUGUGGAGCUGUGCAACGCAGUCGGCGCCGUGGAGGUCGGCGGCGAGGGGCACGCUGAAGGCACCGGUGCCGUCGAGGGCACCCACCGCCUUGCUCUCGUAGUCACCAGCGUUGUUCUUGCACUUGAUCGCCACCUGAAGACCUGUUGUACAUUCAUGGCAGAACAACAGUGAGCAGAAUAACAUCAUGCCUUUACAAAGUGGAGUAUUCUAUCAAAUCUAGCUAGCUAGCGCUUACCCUUGAAGGCUUCCUCGGCCUUGAUGUUCUUCAUGGUGCAGUCAGCGCACUUGGCCAGGCCGACGACGACGGACACCGCCUCGGCGUUGGCAACGGCGACCGCCAGCAGGACGGCGAGGACGAGUGCUCUCGGAGCUGCCAUGUCUGAACCUCUACCACUUGCUUGCCUGUGUGAAGUGGCUGAUGGAUGGAUGAAUGGAACAGGCGACGCAUGGCUUAUAUAGGCCUCGACAUUGAUCGAUCCAGCUCGGCCGAUGAUCUGGCUGCAUGCAUGCUCGAAGCACGAAGGGGUGUGGUGGGCGGCGAAGUGAUGCGUGACAAGGAGAGGCCGGCUAACUCGCCGAAAUUUCAGAUGGCAAAGUUAAUACGGCGUCCGCUGCAUGAUCGGAUCGGUCGGUGCAUGUGCGUCCACGUCGCUGUUGGUGAUCGACUUGGUUUGGUGGUGGAGUACGUAGGUAGGCACCGGCCGCGUCUCUCGGCAUGCACAUGCAUUUGCGUGCGUGUGUGCAUGCAGCGUAAGUUCGUAGUAGUAGUACCCUGUUUGCUGGUGUUGGAUCGACAUCACAGAUUGCUGUAAAGUGCAUGUCCAUUUGGGGAAUAGUGAGCUUGCGCUGAACUGCAAAAACGGCUUACAUUAAGUCACAUACUUCCUCCGUCUAGGUGUUAGGUUGUGCACCGUGAUGAAGGCAAAGAGAAAAACGAGAGAACUUAAUAUUUAUUUGAUAAUUAAUAGCAUUGCAUGCAAUAAACUGAACCAUUGCAUGUCGUGUUUGCAAGUCAUUGAAAGCAUACACAUCACACAUCUCUUAUUGCUUGAUUCCUUUAUUUAUGUCGAGAAACAGAAAUAAGGUGAGAGUUAAUGCACCACGCCUAAGUGUUUUGAGAUUAUUUAGUUUUCAUAAGGCUACUCAUAGUGGGGAGCAUCAUAUACUAGUAUCAUGCAUAUGAUACUACCUUCAUAGUGAACAGUAUCAUAGAGUAGUAUCAUAGAUGAUCUUGUUUAUUUCAUGCAUAACACAAAGUAGCAUAACAUUUAAUAUAAUACAAUAUAUAUCUAUGUUAAUCUAGCCCUCUCUCUCUCCUUUAAUUCUCGGCGACAUCAGCGUGUUUGCUAUUCCCAAGUGCAUGAUACUAGCUAAAAUACCACCAUUAUGACCAGCCUAAGAUGACUUGUAUACCUAGACACAGGGAGUAGGGAGUAGAAUGUGUUACAUAUGAGCAGUUUGUAAUUAUGUUUAAUCAAAGAAAAAACAUAUAGAAGAUGAUCAAUAUAGUUUACAUGAUAUUCGAACAAGAGAAGUUUCUUUUUACUCGGUACAGACGCAGACGCUUAUACAUACGCAUAUACACCCACUUCUAUAAACGCAAGGACGCACACCAUACCCCUAUGAGAACCUACGAGAGAUUGAGUUGGCACAUCAUCUUGAGUUUGACGCCAUCGUAGUGAACGGGAACGUCUCCUCGCACUGAACGCUCAUCGUCAAAAGGCCUAAAAUAAAAUCAGGAAAAUGCGAGCACCAAUGUUAAGUCUAGGACUUGAACUCUGGUGGGAUUUGUAUACCACUGUCCUCAUAACCAACCGACCACAGAUUGGUUCGCUCGAACAAGAGAAGUUAGUAAGCAAAACAGACAUGCUAUUCAACGGGUAUGGUAAACAUGGCAUGUACAGAUCAAAUGCUAAUGUAGUAAGGAACUGGAAGUAAUCCCUAAUGCGAAUGAAGAAGAGUUCGCAGUCAGCGCAUCACCGACGGUUGACAUGGCCUGGAGGGAUGGGGAGUCGUGUCCGGGAAGUAGUUUUCAUUGUAUGUCGCAAUGUCGGUCGCAUGAGAUCUCUCCCAGAGAUCAUGAUCUCCUCUCUCGCUCUCUCAUACAUGAUCACAAUAGAUGGGGUACCGGAGUCCUGUUGUUCUACAUUGUGGUGCAUGAAAGUGGAAUGGAAAGACGCGCGGCACAGAUCUGGAACUGAAGAAUGGUCUCAUGUACAUUUCUAUGUGGCCCCAUCUAUUUGCAGAGGAGCAACCUCUAAUAGGCUCUAACAAACGAAACAAGUCCACUAUGGAUGAUUCUGAGAUGAAGAGUCUACAAAUGUUCGGUUUCAUCUUCUACUAGUGCAAAAUAAUGUUUUCAAUCAUGUCACGCACGACAAGAGGAGUGACAGACAUGUGACAGGUCAGAGUCCAGCUCGUUCACGAAACACAAAGCGCGUCAGGCUAGGUGAUGUCAUGCAAAUGCAUAGAGUUUAGUUGUAGUUGUUUUCGGAGUAAGAGUAUUGAUCCCACAAAGAGCUGAGGAAAUGGUAUUUUACCCCUUGUAGAGGUUUAUCCGAAUUUGCCUGCAAGUUAUUUUUAGGUCCCAAGCAAAAGCAGUGUGAAAGGUGAAAUAUUGCAAGAGUGUGUGUGUGUGUGUGUGUGUGUGUGCGCGCGCGCGCGUGUGUGUGUGUGUGUGUGUGUGUGUGUGUGUGUGUGUGUGUGUGAGUGAGUGAGAAAGCAAGAAUUAAAGUGCACAAGAAUAAUGACUAAGAACAAGAGAGUAGUGAUAAUGAUAAAAACUCCAGUAGGGCUAAAAGGCGUUCUAUGGAGUCUAUGGAGUCUGUAUUCACCACUUGUAUUUAUUAUACCUAAUUGUGUAGAAACGCAACCUUUGGUUCAAAUACGUGAUCCAUGUUAUAUAUGUAUUGUGUGGGGAGAGCCAAUAAAAAGAUACGUGCAUAUUAGCGCAGUUCUGUAUCACGCACACCAUCACUGUCGCACCAAUGCAUAUCGGCAGAGUACAAUGGUGAUUGAGAGUCUCUUCAACGAUGUGGAAUAAAACACAUGAGUCUCCGUUGUUCCCUUACCAAUGAUUCGGUAAGGAGAGAGAGAGAGAGUUUUCAUCACUGUUGUACCUCUAACCCCACAUCACAAAGAUAAUAAUAUCCGUCAAGUCCCGAUGGGCUAAAUAUUGUGCAGUCAAUGUUCGCACAAUAUCAUGAAGAACAUUAACACGAUUAUAUAACAAAGAUUGUAUAUAUUAUCGUCAUUAGGAUCAUAUAAAUGCUAGUGCUCCCAUGUGUCCACAAGAACUGAUGAAUUACUCUGACAUAGAGGCACAAGACAUCGACGAGGUGUCCAUGGCAAUGGAAGAUGAAUUGUUAAUGUAACACACGUAUAAAUCUAGACCAGGGUUUGGGAUUACAAGAAGAUGAAUGAGGGAUAUUCAAUGUAAAGUAUGUGGAUGAUGUUGUUGAUGAUGAUGAUGGUUGAUGUUGUGGUCUCGGUGGUCGAAGCUUUGGCGAGGUGGUGCCCUUCUGCUGAUUGGCACUUCGGAUUCCUUUUGGAGAUGAGGUUUUCUGCUUCUAUUCUAUGGUAUGUGAUCUCUCUGUUUGUCACGUCCGAGAUCCGAUUGCACGGGGUGGAAGUACUCCAACAGGGAGAGGUGGCACCGUGCGGUACGACCACUGGUAUGAGCAGUCACGCUUGCACUGUGCGUCGUCUUCUCUACUAGAUAGCUGGGUGCAGCUAGUUUUCCUCCCACAUUCUCGUCUCAUCGUAUAGAAAGUCUUAAUUAUGUCUAAUCAGCAUAUUUUUCACACCAAAAAUAGAUGUUUUACAUUUAGUGUUCAAAAUAUCACGGGAUUUUGAUGAAAUCAAGCAAAAGGGCAAUCACCCGUGAUAAAGUACAGAAAAUUACAUGGUUAUUGAGGCCAAGUUCUGACCCCAGGUGCGGUUGAGCCUCACCUGAUCUAGUCUUGUUCCUUUGGUGUGUUGUCGUGCUCGUGGAUGACUGCUUUGACGAUGCUACCAGUGUUUCCUUUUUGUCUUCAGAAUGUUGGUUAUGUCGUGGCCUGUUAUCUGUGUCGUAAGCACUGUGUAUCCGCCAUCUUAUUUUCUUGCUUGUUGUAAGUGUGCUCGAUGUAAUUACUGAUUGGUUAAUGACUUUGUUAAUUCAAGGUCGGUCUCUCCUUAAACUUUCGCUCUGAAAAAAAAGGAAAUUUUGACAAAGAGAGAAUGUCGGACAAGUAUUUAGGGAGCAAAUUUGAAGGACAUGAUUGGAUAACAUCGGACCGGCCGGAUGUCCGCCGGCAAUUGGCGGCGUCCGUUUGGUGAUCGCUGGGGAAAAUGAGCGUACUUGGUUGAUUCAGAUAUAGGAACUUCUCAUUACAAAAAAUCACACCGAUAUUACAAAGCUUGUAAAAAAACUGACCCAUCACCCGUACAUUUGCCUGACACACAUACUUAUCCCUCACAACUGUUAUUCUGAAUGAUAGAAGAUCAAGCUAACCCGUGACAUAAAUAGCAACGUCGCUCACUCACUGACAGCAACAAGCCAUGAAAUUUCACUGUUGUGUCGGACGGUGGCAGAUCGGAGUCAGUGGUGUCCGUGGUAUCCACCGCCACCACCACCGCCGUAGGUGGGCGUGGGAGGGACCGGGUGGUAGUCCGGGUGGGGAUGCGGCUUGGGCUCGGGCUUGGGCACAGGGUGGUAGUCAGGGUGGCGCUGGGGCUUGGGCUCCGGCUUGGGCGGCACGGGCUUCUUGUGAUGGAAGUGCUCGAUGAUGUGCUUCUUGAUCGGCCCGCACAGGGUCGUGGACGCGCACUCUGGUGAUGCCAGCGCGUUCGUCUUGGCACCGGCGAUGACACCGAAGGUGGUGCCCUCGGACACCGGCACGAUCUUGGAUGGCUCCUGGCCGGAGCACGGCGCGUUGGAGGCGGCGUUGUGGAGCUGCGCGACGCAGUCGGCGCCGUGGAGGUCGGCGGCCAGGGGCACGCUGAAGGCGCCGCUGCCGUCAAGGGCACCUACCGCCUUGCUCUCGUACUCGCCGUCGACGUUCUUGCACUUGAUCGCCACAUGGAGACCUGAGAUACGUUAACAGGAGGAGGAUAACCAUGAGCCGAUCUCCAUCUAUAUAGCAGAAAAAGCUUGUCCUUCAAAUAAAUAUAUCUAGCACCAAGUUAGUGCUAGAUACAUCCAUUUGAGAAAGUUUGGGACCAAGUUUUUUCGGACAGAGGCAGUACACGAUUGAGCUGCAUAUGUAGCUUACCCUUGAAGGCUUUCUCGGUCUUGAUGUUCUUCCUGGUGCAAUCAGCGCAGGCCAGUCCGACGACGACGGACGCCGCCUCGGCGUUGGCAACAGCAACCGCCAGCAUGACGGCGAGGACGAGUGCUCUCGGAGCUGCCAUGUCUGAACCUCUACCACUUGCUUGCCUGUGUUGGAAGGAUGAAUGGAACAGGCGACGCAUGGCUUAUAUAGGCCUCCGCAUUGAUCGGCACAGCUCGAUGGCGAUCUGGCUGCAUGCUCGAAGCUCGAAGGGUGGUGGGCGGCGAAGUGAUGCGUGACAACGAGAGGCUGGCUAACUCACCGAAAUUCUAGAUGGCGAGUUAAUAUAUACGGCGCCCGCUGCAUGAUCGGAUCGGUCGGUGCGUGUGCCUCCACGUCGCGGUUGGUGAUCGACUUAUUUUGGUGGUGGAGUAGCGUAGGUUGGCACCGGCUAAAAAUGCUAAACAUACAAAUAAGUAUACAAGUUUACAAACUCUUUCUAUCUACUAACCAAUCACAAACUUGCUCACCCCUCCCUCCCAACCCUUGAUUUUCAGGGGAUGGGCCGCCUCCCCACUUAGUGACCAAUCAAGUUAACCCUCUUUGUAAAACCUUGUAACUCAUUUGUACGUGUAGCAUUACUGGGCACCGGCCGCCUGUACAUGCAUUUGCUUGCGUGCGUGCAUGCAGCGUAAGUUCUCGUAGUAGUAUUCCCUCUGUUUUUUUAUAGUCUGCAUAUAAGAUCUGGCCAAAGUCAAACUUUGUAAAGUUUGACCAAAUUUAUUUGAAAAAAUAUCAACAUCUACAAUAUUAAAGCUAUAUGAUAUGAAAAUUAAUUUCAUGAUGCAUCUAACAAUAUUGAUUUCAUAUUGUGAGCCAUGGUAUAUUUUUCUAUAAACUUAGUUAAAGUUGAUAAAGUUUGACUUUGAUCAAAUCUUAUAUACAGACUAAAAGAAAACGAAGGGAGUGGUACCAAAAAUGCUACACCUACGUAAUGUUUGCUGGUGGUAAGCUGGUGUUGGAUCGACAUCACAGAAUUGCUGCAAAGUGAGUAGUGAGCUUGUGUGUGAACUGCAAAAACGGCUUACAUCAAGUUACAUAGGGACUAGAAUGUUACAUAUGAGCAGUUUCUAAUUAUGUUUAAUCGAAGAAAACAUGGAUAUAAGAUGAUCAAUAUAGUUAACAUGAUAUUCGAACAAGAGAAGUUUUUUUUUAAACACAUUAUAGACGCAGGCGGUAGUACAUACGCACAUACACUCGCUCAUAUAAAUAUGCACACAUGCACACCCUACCCCUAUGAGCACCUGAGAGACUGAGCCGGCACAUCAUCUUGAGUUUGACGCUAUCGUAGUUGACGGGACGUCUCGUCUCACUGAACGCACAUAGUCAGAUGACCUAAAAUAAAUUCAGAAAAAUGCGAGCACGUGUUAAGUCUAGGACUUGAACUCUGAUGGGCUGGGGAUACCACUAUUCUCAUAACCAUCCGACCACAAGUUGGUUCGCUCGAACAAGAGAAGUUGUUAAGCAAAAAAGACAUGCUAUUUGAUGUGUAUGGUAUACAUGGCAUGUCCAGAUCGAAUACUAAUAUAGUAAGGAACCGGAAGUAAUCGUUAAUGGAGGGGGAAAAUAAUGUAUGAUGUGGCAGAUGAAGAAGCGUUAGCAGUCAGCGCACCGCGAAUGGUGGAAAUGGCGUGGAGGGAUGGGGAGUCGUCGUCGGGGAAGUAGUCUUCGUUGUAUGCCUCAAUGUCGGUAGAGCUCUCCCUAAAAAUCCUGAUCUCCUCUCUCUCAUACAUGAUCACAAUAGAAGGUUCCGAAGUCCUAUUGUUCCACGUCAUGGUGCAUGAGGAAAAGUGGAAUGGGAAAGACGUAAGGGGCGCAAAGAUCUUGAACUGAAGGAUGUUCUCAUGCACGUUUCUAUGUAACCCCAUCUAUGGAUAGAGGAGCAAUCUCUAAUAGACUAACAACCGAAACCGGUCCACUAUGGAAGAGUUGGAGAUGAAGAGUCUACAAAUGUUCAGUUUAAUCCUUCUACUAGUGCAUAAUGUUUCGAAUCCUGUCACGCACGACAAGAGGAGUGACACACAUGUGACAUAGGUCAUAGUUCAGCUCGUUCACGAAACACAAAGCGCGUCAGGCGAGGUGAUGUCAUGCAAAUGCAUAGAGUUUAGUUGUAGCUGUUUUUGAAGUAAGAGUAUUGAUCGAUCCCACAAGAGCUGAGAAAAUGGUCUUUUGCCCCUUAUAGAGGUUUAUCCGAAUUUGCCUGCAAAUUAUUUUACGUCCCAAGCAAAAGCGGUGUGAAAGGUGAAAUAUUGCAAGAGUGUGUGUAUGUGUGAAAGCGAGAAUUAAAGUGCACACAAACAAUGACUAAGAAUAAGAGAGUAAUGAUAAUGAUGAAAACUCCAAUAGGGCCAAAAGGCAUUCUCAUAUAGUCUGUAUGUACCACAUGUAUUUAUUAUACUUAAUUGUGUAGAAACACAACCUUUGGUUCAAAUACUUGAUCCAUGUUAUAUAUGUAUUGCGCGGGGAGAGCCAAUAAAAGCUAUUGGCAUAUUACCGAUGUUCUAUAUCACGCACGUCAUCACCAUCCCUCCAAUGCAUAUCGGCAGAGUACGAUGGUGAUUAAGGGUCUCUCCGGGGAUGCGGAUUAAAACACUUGAGUAUUUGUUGUUUCCUUGCCAAUGAUUUGGUAAGGAGAGAGAUAGCUUCUAUCACUGUUGUACCUCUAACCCCUCAUCACAAAGAUAUAAUAUCCAUCAAAUCCUGAUGGGCUAAAUAUUGUGCAGUCGAUGUUGGCACAAUAUCAUGAAGAACAUUAACACAAUUAUAUAACAAAGAUUGCAUAUAUUAUUGUCAUUAGGAUCAUAUAAAUACUAGGGUUCCCCAUAUCCACAAGAAUUGGUAAAUUACUCAGGCAUAGAGGCACGAGACAUCGUCGAGGUGUCCAUGGCAAUGGAAGAUGAAUUAUUAAUGUAACACACGUAUAAAUCUAGACUAGGGUUUGGGAAUACAACAAGAUGAAUGAGGGAUAGUCAAUUUUGAGUAUGUGGAUGAUAUUGCUAAUGAUGAUGGCUGAUGUCAUGGCCUCGGUGGUCGAAGCUUUGGCGAGGUGGUGCCCUUCUACUAAUUCGCACUUCGGAUCCCUUCUGGGGAUGAGGUUUUCUACUUCUAUUUCAUGGUCUGUGAUAUCUCUGUUAGGCACGUCUGAGAUCCCAUUGCACGGGGUGGAAGUUGUCCACCGGGUGGAGGUGGCGCCGUGCGGUAUGAACAGUCGCGCUCGUAUUGUGCGUCGUCUUCUCUCCUAGAUAGCUGGUCGUGGCUAGUUUUCCUCCCACAUUCUCGUCUCUUCGUAUAGAAGUCUUUAUGACGUCUAAUCAGCAUAUUAUUCACACCAAAAAUAGAUGUUUUACAUUUAGUGGUCAAUAUCCUGGGAUCUUGAUGACAUCAAGCGAAAGGGAAAGCAACUGUGAUAAAGUGCAAAAAAUUAUGUGGUUAUUGAGGCCAAGUUCUCGCCCCAAGUGCGGUUGAGCCUCGCCCUUGAUCUAGCGUGUAAUGGUGGAUGACUGCUUCAACGAUGCUAGUGGUGUUUCUUUUCUACUCCCUCCGUUCCUAAAUAUUUGUCUUUCUAGAGAUUUUGACAAGUGACUACAUACGGAGCAAAAUGAGUGAAUCUACACUAAAAUAUGUCUAUAUACAUCAGUAUGUGGUAGUCCAUUUGAAAUCUUCAGAAAGACAAAUAUUUAGAAACGAGGGGAGUAUGAGAGUGCUGGUUAUGUCGUGACCUGUUAGCUAUGUGUAAGCACUGUGUAUCUGCCAUUUUAUUUUCUUGCUUGUUGUAAGUGUGGUCGAUGUAAUUGCUGACUGAUUAAUGGCUCCAGACUUUUCUUAAACCUUCAUUAAAAGAAGAGUAAAUUUGACAAAGAGAGAAUGUCGGACAAGUACUUAGUAGCAAAUUUGAAGGACAUGAUUGGAUGACGUCCGCCCGGCCGGAUGUCCGCGGACAUUUGGUGGCGUCCAUUUGGUGAUAGCCGGGAAAAAAGAGUGUACUCCCUCCGUCUAGAUGAGCAAGUCAUCUUAGAUUGUGCACCGUGACCAAGGAGGAGGAGAAAACGAGAGAACUUAAUGUUCAUUUGUUAAUUAAUAGCAUUGCAUGCAAUGAACUAAUCACUGCAUGUCGUGUUUGGUAAUCUCAAGUCAUUAAAAGCAUGCACACCCCACAUCUCUUAUUGGUUGAUAUGUCAAGAAACAAGAAACAAGGUAGAAUUUAAUGCACCGCGCCUAACUGUUUUGGGAUUAUUUGGUUUCGUAAGAUGACUUACACACCUAGACGGAGGGAGUACUUGGUUCAUUCAGAUAUAUAGCGACUUCCCAUUACAAAAAAUCACACCGAUAUUACAAACCUUGUAAAAAAACUGACCAUCACCCGUACAUUUGCCUGACACACAUACUUAUCCCUCACAACUCUUAUUCUGAAUGAUAGAAGAUCAAGCUAACCCCUGACAUAAAUAGCAACGUCGCUCACUGACAGCAACAAGCCAUGAAAUUUCACUGCUAGGCCGGAUGGUGGUAGAUCGGAGUCACUAGUGGUGUCCAUGGUAUCCACCACCGCCGCCGCCGCCGCCGUAGGUGGGCGUGGGAGGGACGGGGUGGUAGUCCGGGUGGGGCUGCGGCUUGGGCACGGGG
rnacentral:lncRNA from 1 species